GAUGAACGCUGGCGGCGUGCCUAAUACAUGCAAGUCGAGCGAACAGACGAGGAGCUUGCUCCUCUGACGUUAGCGGCGGACGGGUGAGUAACACGUGGAUAACCUACCUAUAAGACUGGGAUAACUUCGGGAAACCGGAGCUAAUACCGGAUAAUAUAUUGAACCGCAUGGUUCAAUAUUGAAAGACGGUUUUGCUGUCACUGAUAGAUGGAUCCGCGCCGCAUUAGCUAGUUGGUAAGGUAACGGCUUACCAAGGCAACGAUGCGUAGCCGACCUGAGAGGGUGAUCGGCCACACUGGAACUGAGACACGGUCCAGACUCCUACGGGAGGCAGCAGUAGGGAAUCUUCCGCAAUGGGCGAAAGCCUGACGGAGCAACGCCGCGUGAGUGAUGAAGGUCUUCGGAUCGUAAAACUCUGUUAUUAGGGAAGAACAAAUGUGUAAGUAACUAUGCACGUCUUGACGGUACCUAAUCAGAAAGCCACGGCUAACUACGUG
rnacentral:rRNA from 1 species